rnacentral:rRNA from 1 species
AGUGAACGCUGGCGGUAGGCCUAACACAUGCAAGUCGAACGGCAGCACAGUAAGAGCUUGCUCUUACGGGUGGCGAGUGGCGGACGGGUGAGGAAUACAUCGGAAUCUACUUUUUCGUGGGGGAUAACGUAGGGAAACUUACGCUAAUACCGCAUACGACCUACGGGUGAAAGCAGGGGAUCUUCGGACCUUGCGCGAUUGAAUGAGCCGAUGUCGGAUUAGCUAGUUGGCGGGGUAAAGGCCCACCAAGGCGACGAUCCGUAGCUGGUCUGAGAGGAUGAUCAGCCACACUGGAACUGAGACACGGUCCAGACUCCUACGGGAGGCAGCAGCGGGGAGUAUUGGACAAUGGGCGCAAGCCUGAUCCAGCCAUACCGCGUGGGUGAAGAAGGCCUUCGGGUUGUAAAGCCCUUUUGUUGGGAAAGAAAAGCAGCAGGUUAAUACCCCGCUGUUCUGACGGUACCCAAAGAAUAAGCACCGGCUAACUUCGUG